CGGUAUAGCUCAGAUGGUAGAGCAACUGACUUGUAAUCAGUAGGUCCCGGGUUCGAUUCCUGGUGCCGGCACCA
rnacentral:tRNA from 1 species